CAUCUACGAAAUCAGAGCAAAAAACAAGAAAAAAAAAUGAAAAAUGUGUUAGGUAAA
rnacentral:ribozyme from 15 species